UUUGAAUCCGGGCUAAUCGGCGGCCGGCGGGCGGGGCGGCCUGCCCGCGCCCCUGACAGCCCAGCGGCGGGAGGAGCCCCUCUGCCCUGGGAGCCGGACGGGCCGCGCCUCCCCGCCGGUGACCGGUCCGGUGCGCUGGCCCAUGCUGGUCCCCGCCUUUGUUCUCGGGCCGGAGCGGAGACAUGCGCGGCUGACGAUGGAAGUAGAGGACUCGGGCGGCGUGGUGCUGACCGCCUACCACUCGUACGCGCGCCCCCAGCCGCCCAGCUCCGAGCCGCGCUGCGCGCCCCGGGACGCCGCCAGCCACCCAGGCAGCAGAAAAUCCAUUUCUCGCUGCCGAAGAAUUAGCAGGAUGCUCUCCAAUGAAUCCUUACAAUCCCCGGCAUUCAGCCGCUCCAACUCUCAAGCCUCCAUAGACAGCGCCUCCAUGGAGGAUUUCUGGCGGGAAAUAGAAAGUAUCAAAGAGAACAGCCUGGGAGUUCAGGAAGAGCAGACGCCAGCUGAGGCCAAGCCCCUGGAUGAAGGAGAACUUGAAGCAGAGUGGUUGCAAGAUGUAGGUUUAUCAACCCUGAUCUCGGGUGAUGAAGAGGAGGGUGGCAAAGCCUUGCUCUCAACUUUGACUCGAACCCAAGCAGCUGCAGUGAAGAAGAGAUAUAAUACUUACACUCAAACCAUGAGAAAAAAGAACAAGCAAUCCAUCAGGGAUGUCAGAGACAUCUUUGGAGUCAGCGAAUCUCCUGCAGAUGAUUUUUGUUGUAUCCCAGCUCCUCUUUUGGAUGUGAACCCAGAUGAAGAAGGGAUGCCAGCAGUUCCCUGCAGAAAUGGUCAACUGCCAGGCGAUACCUGUGACAACCAUCCUAGUCAGUUGGACGACACCCAGGAGGAAAAAGAGCUGCCGGGAGUUAUCAAAACAAGUGGUUCCUUGCCAGAUGAUGCGUCUUUCAACAUUACUACCCUGUCAGAUGGGUCCCAAGAUGAAGAAGGGAGUUUUGCAGUUCCCAGGAGUGGCCCCAUGUCUAUCCUGGAGACUAUUCCAGAUGUGCCAGCUCAUUCCAAUGGCUCAGCAGACCCUGGACAGUCGGUGCAGAACGCAGUGACUGAUGAUGAAUAUCUGGAAAAGGACAUUCCACUACAAGCUGAAGAGCUGUCCUUUGAAGUAUCUUAUUCAGAAAUGGUUACAGAGGCUCCAAAAAGAAAUAAAUUGAAGAAGUCAGAUUUUAAGAAAGAAGACUAUGUUUUACCUAAAUUUAUUGUUCAGAAAACCAGAUUUGGCCUAACUGAAGCAGGAGAUCUGUCUGCUGAAGACAUGAAGAAAAUCCGCCAUCUCUCUCUGAUUGAAUUGACGGCCUUUUUUGAUGCCUUUCGUAUUCAACUAAAAAGAAACAAAACGGAGAAAGUAAAAGGACGAGACAGUGGGAUUUUUGGAGUUCCUCUUACAGUCCUGCUGGAAAAUGACCGAAGGAAAGAUGCCGGAGUGAAAGUUCCCCUUGUGUUACAAAAAUUCUUUCAGAAAGUUGAAGAAUCGGGUCUGGAAUCUGAAGGGAUUUUUCGACUUUCAGGAUGUACUGCUAAAGUCAAGCAAUACCGUGAAGAACUGGAUGCCAAGUUUAAUGCUGAUAAGUUUAAAUGGGAGAAAAUGUGCCACAGAGAAGCUGCAGUAAUGUUGAAAGCAUUUUUCAGAGAACUACCCACCUCUCUCUUCCCUGUGGAAUAUAUACCUGCUUUCAUCACUCUAAUGGAAAGAGGGCCUCACAUCAAAGUACAGUUUCAAGCCUUACACCUCAUGAUCAUGGCACUGCCUGAGGCCAACAGGGACACAGCCCAGGCCCUCAUGACAUUCUUCAAUAAAGUCAUUGCCAACGAAUCAAAAAACCGAAUGAGUAUAUGGAACAUUUCUACCAUAAUGGCACCAAAUCUUUUCUUCAGUAGAAGCAAACAUUCUGACUGUGAAGAAUUACUCUUAGCAAACACCGCUGCCCACAUCAUCCGCUUGAUGCUAAAGUACCAGGAGAUGUUGUGGAAGGUUCCAUCUUUCUUAAUCGCUCAAGUCAGAAGAAUGAAUGAAGCCACCAUGUUGUUAAAGAAACAGCUUCCAAGUGUCAAAAAGCUGCUAAGGAGGAAGACCAUAGAACGAGGGGUUAUAAGCCCCAAGACUUCAAAGGUACUACAAAAAUCACCCUCUACAAGAAGAAUGUCUGACGUGCCAGAGGGAGUCAUAAGGAUCCACGCGCCCCUUCUCUCCAAGGUGUCCAUGGCCAUUCAACUCAACAGUCAAACCAAAGCCAAAGACAUAUUGGCGAAAUUUCAAUAUGAGAACAGUCAUGGUUCAUCGGAAGGCAUUAAGAUCCAGAACCAAAGAUUAUAUGAAAUUGGAGGUAAUAUAGGACAGCACUGCUUGGAUCCAGAGGCUUAUAUAUUGGAUGUAUAUCAUGUAAAUCCCCAGGCAGAAUGGGUGAUUAAACCCCAACCAAGUGUUUGAAAUACCCCCCAAGAUGGCAGCUAUCGUGCAUUACCUGCCAAGAAGUCCUACAUUUGACUUGGCCAAGCACUGUGGAUUAGCAUCAGGCUUUAAAAUCAGAUGAAUGUUUGGUGAGCUGAAAACUGCCUCGCUAUCAAGAUUCCACGGAGCCAUUUUCCAGACCUGCAGUUGGUGAGAAAGCACAAUUCAUGAUUCUAAUUGAGAGCAAAUCUGAAAUUUGCUGGGGGGUUGGACAGCCCUGCCUUUCAUUUGGAGACUGCAGUAUAGUCGUUCUAGAGUUGGUUAGAAAUGGGGACAGAGGUCUCAUUUAUCCCAUGUAUGUGCUUUGGAGUAGAAUCUAAUUAGAUUGAGAUUUUGAUGAAUUUACACCAGUUUUAAUGAGAUUUAACGCCCAAAUGACUCUCUCUUGCAAAUCAAACAAUAGACAAAGUUGCUCACCAAUGCAGAAUACAUUUAAUCUACUUACCAAGUCUCAAAACAAAAUGUGAUAAUAAUUUAAGCCUAUACUUUUACAUGCUCAUUAUGCCUUGAUAUCUAUAAAAACAUAAUUUAUAUUCAACAUGUAGAUAAUUGCAUUUCUGGCCAUUAGAAUUUUGUUAUAUUUUUAUAGAAAACUCAAAUAUCCAUUCAUUUUAUUUGCUUAUUUGAGAAUUUUUUAUUUCCUUUGCCUGAAAACCCAUUAGAAGAUAAACAUGUGUUCUGUUGGUUUAUAUUUAUUUAUUCCUACAUUUCAUCAGUUUUCAAUGUAUGGCUAAUUGACGGCAUGUGAGUUUACAUAAUGAACUUUGAGGGUCUGAGAAAAUGCCGUUAUCAUUUUUGCAAUUCAAACAAAAUUUUACUUCAUGUUGUUGCUAAGGUCCAAGACAUAAGAUGGCUGUAAUUUAUGCCCACAUACAUGGAAGAAAUUCUUCAAAUUAGCUGCCUUACACUUCUGUGUAUGUAUUAAAACAAUGAUUUUUCUCACUGAAUUCCCUAUCAUUUAGAAUAUAUUCUGUUGUGUUUAGAAAAUUCACAGAUCUAUCCAUUUAAUUUUUUAUUUGGGAAUUUUUUUUAUUUCUUUUGACUGAAAACACAUUAGGACAGAUGCAUAAGUUCUAAAGGUUUUAAGAUUUACUUCAUUAGUCAUUAGUUUUAAAUAAAUGGCUAACAGAUGACAGAUUAAAAAAAAACUAAGUUUCUGAAUUUCUUAUCCACUUUUGUGUGGUUUUAGAUGUCAAAGGCUUAGCCCAGUCAAUAACUUUAAUCACUUCAGUGCAUCCAGGGUUGUGUGACAACUUUCAAAUAACUAUAUGAUAUGGAAGCCCACGUCAAUACCAAUAUCAUUGGAUAUAACCUGAAUUUUUAGUCAUCAAGUUAACAAACUGAUUAGGGAAGAAUUUCCAGUAGACACACAAACUAAUUUUUGUGUGGUUAAAGAAGUUCUUUUUACUAAUUUUUACUUUUUUUUUUUUUACUAAUCUUAUUCUUAAUGAAUAAUUUUAUUCUUAAUGAAUAAACAAACCCCUACAAUUAAAACUCAAAAUUGCUGGUCACCUAAGUGUUGAAAAAACUGUCUUUGCCUUAUGAAGAAUUGUUUUUUAAAAUAGUUACAGUAAUCUGUAACAGUGAAUAGUGUAAAAGCAAACAUGAAUAGUAUAUCUGCAAACAAAAGAAGAGUCAGAUACUGGGCUUCUAAAUUCUUUUCUUGAUAGCUUCCCACCUCAUCUCUUCCCAAGCGCUCUUGGUGUACAGUUAGGGAAAUUAUAUCUACGAAAACAUUAGAGAAAGUUAACGUUUUAGGAACAAUUAUUCAGAAAAAAACCCGCUAGAACAGGCUCAUUCUUUCCUCCAUUCUACAAAAGAAGAUCCCUUUGCUAAACAGCUCACUUGGGGAUAUGAUGCUUGGAGUCAUUGAACAAUGAGUUUAGUGAGUUCAAGGAGUGACCUUUGAACAAACUGGAAUAUUAAUCUCUUUACAAUGUAUAUACAAUAUAAACUACCUCACUUGUCUUUCUUGGGAGAAAAAAAUAACAGACGUUAACAAUUUUUGUUACAAACUGUUCCUGAAUCUUAUUAUUUAAGUCACUUCAGUUAGCUUUCAGUGUACAUUUAAUAAUAUACAUUUAAUGAUGUAAAAUAUUGUUAGCAGAAGCUUUAAAACCAAAUACUCUGUAGCUAUGAUGUGUGGUGUAGACGCUGAGAGAAUCCGUGUCCCUUAGUCAUUGUCUUGUGUGUUUAACUGUGCUGAAUCACAGGUUUUCAAAUGUAGGAAUUCACUUCAUCUUCUUUCAUGCAUUUUCAACCGCUUUCCCCACAUUGCACUUGACUAAAAGUAGCGUGAGAUUAAACUUCUUUCUAUCAAGCAUAUUUCAGCUGUUUUUCAUAAAUGUAUCACAUGUCUGAAAGGAAUAUAUAUUACGGGAUUGAAUAGUUUCUGUUUUCUGACAGGCACUUUCCACUUUUUUUUUUCAUAAAUAUGUCACUUAAUAAAAAUAAUAUGACAUGGAUUAAAAUGUUUCUUUCAAACAUUUUCAACAGUUGUACACACACACAC